GAUGAACGCUGGCGGCGUGCCUAAUACAUGCAAGUCGAGCGGACAGACGAGGAGCUUGCUCCUCUGACGUUAGCGGCGGACGGGUGAGUAACACGUGGAUAACCUACCUAUAAGACUGGGAUAACUUCGGGAAACCGGAGCUAAUACCGGAUAAUAUAUUGAACCGCAUGGUUCAAUAGUGAAAGACGGUUUUGCUGUCACUUAUAGAUGGAUCCGCGCCGCAUUAGCUAGUUGGUAAGGUAACGGCUUACCAAGGCAACGAUGCGUAGCCGACCUGAGAGGGUGAUCGGCCACACUGGAACUGAGACACGGUCCAGACUCCUGCGGGAGGCAGCAGUAGGGAAUCUUCCGCAAUGGGCGAAAGCCUGACGGAGCAACGCCGCGUGAGUGAUGAAGGUCUUCGGAUCGUAAAACUCUGUUAUUAGGGAAGAACAAAUGUGUAAGUAACUAUGCACGUCUUGACGGUACCUAAUCAGAAAGCCACGGCUAACUACGUG
rnacentral:rRNA from 1 species